AGAGUUUGAUCCUGGCUCAGGACGAACGCUGGCGGCGCGCCUAACACAUGCAAGUCGAACGAGCAAAGAGGAGCUUGCUUCUCUGAGCGAGUGGCGAACGGGUGAGUAACGCGUGAGGAACCUGCCUCAAAGAGGGGGACAACAGUUGGAAACGACUGCUAAUACCGCAUAAGCCCACGGGUCGGCAUCGACCAGAGGGAAAAGGAGCAAUCCGCUUUGAGAUGGCCUCGCGUCCGAUUAGCUAGUUGGUGAGGUAAUGGCCCACCAAGGCGACGAUCGGUAGCCGGACUGAGAGGUUGAACGGCCACAUUGGGACUGAGACACGGCCCAGACUCCUACGGGAGGCAGCAGUGGGGAAUAUUGCACAAUGGGGGAAACCCUGAUGCAGCGACGCCGCGUGGAGGAAGAAGGUCUUCGGAUUGUAAACUCCUGUUGUUGAGGAAGAUAAUGACGGUACUCAACAAGGAAGUGACGGCUAACUACGUGCCAGCAGCCGCGGUAAAACGUAGGUCACAAGCGUUGUCCGGAAUUACUGGGUGUAAAGGGAGCGCAGGCGGGAAGACAAGUUGGAAGUGAAAUCCAUGGGCUCAACCCAUGAACUGCUUUCAAAACUGUUUUUCUUGAGUAGUGCAGAGGUAGGCGGAAUUCCCGGUGUAGCGGUGGAAUGCGUAGAUAUCGGGAGGAACACCAGUGGCGAAGGCGGCCUACUGGGCACCAACUGACGCUGAGGCUCGAAAGUGUGGGUAGCAAACAGGAUUAGAUACCCUGGUAGUCCACACCGUAAACGAUGAUUACUAGGUGUUGGAGGAUUGACCCCUUCAGUGCCGCAGUUAACACAAUAAGUAAUCCACCUGGGGGAGUACGACCGCAAGGUUGAAACUCAAAGGAAUUGACGGGGGCCCGCACAAGCAGUGGAGUAUGUGGUUUAAUUCGACGCAACGCGAAGAACCUUACCAAGUCUUGACAUCCUGCGACGGACAUAGAAAUAUGUCUUUCCUUCGGGACGCAGAGACAGGUGGUGCAUGGUUGUCGUCAGCUCGUGUCGUGAGAUGUUGGGUUAAGUCCCGCAACGAGCGCAACCCUUAUGGUCAGUUACUACGCAAGAGGACUCUGGCCAGACUGCCGUUGACAAAACGGAGGAAGGUGGGGAUGACGUCAAAUCAUCAUGCCCUUUAUGACUUGGGCUACACACGUACUACAAUGGCGUUAAACAAAGAGAAGCAAGACCGCGAGGUGGAGCAAAACUCAGAAACAACGUCCCAGUUCGGACUGCAGGCUGCAACUCGCCUGCACGAAGUCGGAAUUGCUAGUAAUCGUGGAUCAGCAUGCCACGGUGAAUACGUUCCCGGGCCUUGUACACACCGCCCGUC
rnacentral:rRNA from 1 species